UGUAAAUAAGUGUAAGAAGCACUUAAAUCUUUGAUUUUUAAAGGCAAGUUUAAUUCUUGAAUUUACAA
rnacentral:tRNA from 1 species